UUUAUAGAUGUGAGACAAAGUCCUCUGUUCAUCCACAGAACAUGUAUAGCACAAGCUAAGGCAAUGCAAGCUUCUUGUUCACUGCUUUUCAAGUGUGCCUCUGACCUGACCUGGAAGGGCCCAUCUUUAGGAGCAAAAGGGGAACUUGGUCUCUGCGGUCCUUUCAAUCAUUCAUCUUCC
rnacentral:sRNA from 1 species